GCCAGGUAUGGUGGCACAUGCCUGUAAUCCCAUCUACUUAGGAGGCUGAGGUAGGAGGCUCACAAGUUUAUAGACAGUCUAGGGAACUUAGAGAGACCCUGUCUCAA
rnacentral:sRNA from 1 species